UGCAUGGUAGAAUCUCCGGCAAGCAGUGGGAUUCCGACAAGGGUUCAAGUUUCUAACAGGAGAUCAAGCGUUCUGGCAAGCCAAGGAGAAGUUUUUCCAAGGGAUUGGUGGAGUUUCAAGAGUUUUCUGGUUUAGCACAGGGGGUAGCUUGGGAAGCAAGAGAACUCCGGCCGUGGUCUUCAAGGGUAGAAGAGGUGAGAAGUGCAGCAGUGGGCAUUCCGCAAGUUUUGGGAAGCCCACGAUAACUGGCCGUCAGCAGGAUCUCAAGAGGGAGGCGCAAGGCGGCUACAAGAGAAUGAUCGAAAUAAGAGAGGAGAUGUGAAUAUUGA
rnacentral:lncRNA from 1 species